CCCCUAGAUGUUCUGGGCCGCACGCGCGCUACACUGAACAGUUCAACAAGUCUUAACCUUGGCCGAUAGGUCUGGGUAAUCUUUGAACGCUGUUCGUGAUUGGGGUGGACCUUUGCAAUUAUGGGUCUUCAACGAGGAAUUCCUAGUAAACGCAAGUCAUCAGCUUGCAUUGAUUACGUCCCUGCCCUUUGUACACACCGCCCGUCGCACCUACCGAUUGAAUGGUCCGGUGAAAUCUCGGGACGGCGGCUUGGUCGCUUGCGUCCGACUGCUGAAACUUGAUUAAACCAUAUCAUUUAGAGGAAGGUGAAGUCGUAACA
rnacentral:rRNA from 1 species